rnacentral:rRNA from 1 species
GACGAACGCUGGCGGCGUGCUUAACACAUGCAAGUCGAACGGAAAGGCCCCUUUGGGGGUACUCGAGUGGCGAACGGGUGAGUAACACGUGAGUAACCUGCCCUUGACUUCGGGAUAACUUCAGGAAACUGGGGCUAAUACCGGAUAGGAAUCCUUGCUGCAUGGUGGGGGUUGGAAAGCUUCGGGGGUUUUGGAUGGACUCGCGGCUUAUCAGCUUGUUGGUGGGGUAGUGGCUUACCAAGGCUUUGACGGGUAGCCGGCCUGGGAGGGCGACCGGCCACAUUGGGACUGAGAGACGGCCCAGACUCCUACGGGAGGCAGCAGUGGGGAAUAUUGCACAAGGGGCGGAAGCCUGAUGCAGCAACGCCGCGUGCGGGAUGACGGCCUUCGGGUUGUAAACCGCUUUCAGCAGGGGCGAAGCUUGUGGUGACGGUACCUGCAGAAGAAGCACCGGCUAACUACGUG